rnacentral:rRNA from 1 species
GAUGAACGCUGGCGGCGUGCCUAAUACAUGCAAGUCGAGCGAACAGAUAAGGAGCUUGCUCCUUUGACGUUAGCGGCGGACGGGUGAGUAACACGUGGGUAACCUACCUAUAAGACUGGAAUAACUCCGGGAAACCGGGGCUAAUGCCGGAUAACAUUUAGAACCGCAUGGUUCUAAAGUGAAAGAUGGUUUUGCUAUCACUUAUAGAUGGACCCGCGCCGUAUUAGCUAGUUGGUAAGGUAACGGCUUACCAAGGCAACGAUACGUAGCCGACCUGAGAGGGUGAUCGGCCACACUGGAACUGAGACACGGUCCAGACUCCUACGGGAGGCAGCAGUAGGGAAUCUGCCGCAAUGGGCGAAAGCCUGACGGAGCAACGCCGCGUGAGUGAUGAAGGUCUUCGGAUCGUAAAACUCUGUUAUUAGGGAAGAACAAAUGUGUAAGUAACUGUGCACGUCUUGACGGUACCUAAUCAGAAAGCCACGGCUAACUACGUG